AACGAACGCUGGCUGCAGGCUUAACACAUGCAAGUCGAACGCAUCGCAAGAUGAGUGGCAGACGGGUGAGUAACGCGUGGGAACAUACCCUUUUCUACGGAAUAGCUCUGGGAAACUGGAAUUAAUACCGUAUACGCCCUACGGGGGAAAGAUUUAUCGGGGAAGGAUUGGCCCGCGGUGGAUUAGCUAGGUGGUGGGGUAAAGGCCUACCCAGGAGACGAUCCAUAGCUGGUCUGAGAGGAUGAUCAGCCACAUUGGGACUGAGACACGGCCCAAACUCCUACGGGAGGCAGCAGUGGGGAAUAUUGGACAAUGGGCGCAAGCCUGAUCCAGCCAUGCCGCGUGAGUGAUGAAGGCCUUAGGGUUGUAAAGCUCUUUCACCGAUGAAGAUAAUGACGGUAGUCGGAGAAGAAGCCCCGGCUAACUUCGUGCCAGCAGCCGCCGUAAUAC
rnacentral:rRNA from 1 species